rnacentral:lncRNA from 1 species
UGCAGCCCACCGGGCUCCUCCGUCCAUGGGAUUUUCCAGGCUAGAGUACUAAAGUGUUGAUAUUUAUUCUCCCCACUAGAGGGCAGUGCUUGAAAGGAUUACAGUCCUUACCUCUGAACUUAGUACAACGGACUGGAACAAGCCCUAGUAUUGUUACUUCCCCUAACCCACGCAGAGAGCACAUAAAGAUUUUAUUUCUUUGAAGGAAAAAGGAGAAAGAAAUAUGUUUGCUCUAACAUGACGCAGAAAUCAGUGAUGACGCUGUCUUAACUUGCUGAGCUUGGAGAAAGAGAAACGCUAGUAAAAUUUAAUACUCUGAAUCAUCAAAGGAUAAAUGGAAGAAGACAUCUUUAUAAAUGCUUUCCAGAUCCUGGGAUGACAUCUUGCUAUCAUCUCUCUCAUUGCUGCAAGACUGACAGUCCACAGAAUUGUUUCCCUAAGUGUAGGCAGUGAGUAACAGGGAGGAGAGAGAAGUGUUAUAGCAGGGAUAUGGGAGUGUUUUGAAGCCACAGGAUCUCUCACAUCUUGCCCGGUGGAAGGGACAUAAGCCCCCGUAACAUCCCCACCUGGCGGCGCCCAGAACUGCAGGGCUGUUUCACGGUCA